UAGAAACUUGCUACCAGUUCAAUGUUUUAUCCCUAAAACCAGAGUUGCUAUGACUGGUGCUUAAGUAGCCUGGUGUAAAUGGCAGAUGUCUUGGCUAGAUGAAAAGGUAAAUUAUGGUGGCGAUCAAAUAAGACAGUGCAUACAAACAUAGAGAAGUGCCAGGAACAUAAGGAAUGUUCCAAGUUUUUCCUUGUUAAUUAUUUAAUUAUGUCAGGCAAGAACAAGAUGCAGAAAGAAGUACAGUUUCCUGCUGAAGGAUGUCAAGUCUGAUUUUCAAAAUGUUUCAUUUACAGUGCCUCUGGUCACUUGAAAACAACAUUUAGAUGUUCGACAAGAAGUUCAGAGCUGUCGGUACAAGUGGGUACUGUUCAGUGGCAAUCAAAUCACAUAAAUGACCCAGGUUAUAGCAAGACAAGUUGGAGGAAGAUUAGUGUGUCAAUUAAAUGCAGAUAAUUUUAAGGCUCAAUUUUCUUCCAUUGUAAAGCAUUUGUGGCAGAAUUAAAGAAUAUAUUCAUACAGGUAAAUAUAUAUUUUAAAAUGUGGACCAUAAGAAGCAUCCAGAGUGCAAGAAGCAGAAGAAACAGAAUUCCCAUAAAAGUUUUUUGUCAAGAAAUAAAAGAGGUCAGAUUUGAGAAAAUGAUGGUGUCAAAUACCCAGAACAUAUCAUUCAGAAGCUCAGUGUUCCCAUUGGUAUAAUGAGCCAUUGAAUUAAAGGGUAUUUAUAUAAAUGAUAAUUUAUUAUCCCACUUUAAAUAUGCGCGUCCCAGUAUUGAAUUCAAAGAGAGGAAAGUAGUCAG
rnacentral:lncRNA from 1 species